GCCACAAUUUUUGUUCAUCGCUCUGUUCUUCUCCCACUGAUUCAAACCCUAAUUAGCCUCCCUCACAUUUAUCGCUCUACUGCUCUCAUCAUCAUCAUCUCUUGCAAAUGAUUCAACAAAUAGCCUUGGAUUCAGAUCGAGUUUUGCUUUUCAAUCGAUUAUACACUCCAAAUGCUUAGGGUUUUCCAAUUCUUCAUUUCCAUUUUACAUUGUAGUCGCCUGUUCUUCUCCAUCUUCAAAUCUUUUAUCUUCAUAUGCAUACACCAAAUUGAACAAGAUUUUGCUGUUCUUAAUUCCGAGUAGAUUUACAAAAAUUUGUAAUCAAAUUGAAGAUUUACAACGUGAAUCUGUAUGCUGCAUUUCAAAAUGAUACAUAAGGAAACCUCUUAAUUGGAUUCAGAUUGAGUUUAGAUGAGUUUUCUUUGACUGGCAUUUUGUCGAACACCUUUCAUCAGUCUCAUUGCCAUGGCAAAUCCUAUAGGAAAGUGAUAGAAGGUUGCGCAUAAGACCUUAGAAACAAGCUUAUAGUCAGCAUCUCUCAUUCUUGCGCAAUUUGCUUCGCAUAUUCAAAAAUUGGUGCAAUUGUCCGUUCUAACUCGAACUUGUAGUGGUUAUGUGUUGUGGUGCUUUUAUAUGGAAAUGACAUUGAUCAAGAAUGGGUUAUUAACAUUGUAAGAGAGUAUGAGGCAAUGAAGCAUCACAUGCUCUGAUGACUAAUUGAAAAGGUUAAUGGCAUGCAAGGAACUAACAAUUUUUAUUGAAGAUGAUUAUAGCGAUGUUGACUAGUAUUCAUGCGUGAAAUCCACUCCCAUAAAAUGUUUCAAUUUCCACUUUAGUUUUUCAUAGAAUAUAAUCUUUGUCAAUACCGUCAAAAAUGAAGAUUAUGCAAGUUUUUAAGGUAAGAUGCAUUGAGU
rnacentral:lncRNA from 1 species